rnacentral:rRNA from 1 species
AACGAACGCUGGCGGCAUGCCUAACACAUGCAAGUCGAACGAGACCUUCGGGUCUAGUGGCGCACGGGUGCGUAACGCGUGGGAACCUGCCCUUAGGUUCGGAAUAACUCCCCGAAAGGGGUGCUAAUACCGGAUAAUGUCUUCGGACCAAAGAUUUAUCGCCUUUGGAUGGGCCCGCGUGGGAUUAGCUAGUUGGUAGGGUAAAAGCCUACCAAGGCGACGAUCCAUAGCUGGUCUGAGAGGAUGAUCAGCCACACUGGGACUGAGACACGGCCCAGACUCCUACGGGAGGCAGCAGUGGGGAAUAUUGGACAAUGGGCGAAAGCCUGAUCCAGCAAUGCCGCGUGAGUGAUGAAGGCCUUAGGGUUGUAAAGCUCUUUUACCCGGGAUGAUAAUGACAGUACCGGGAGAAUAAGCUCCGGCUAACUCCGUG